rnacentral:rRNA from 1 species
AGUGAACGCUGGCGGCAGGCCUAACACAUGCAAGUCGAGCGGCAGCGCGUCCGACCACCCUCGGGUGGUCGGAUGGCGGCGAGCGGCGGACGGGUGAGGAAUGCAUCGGAAUCUGCCUCGUUGUGGGGGGAUAACGUAGGGAAACUUACGCUAAUACCGCAUACGACCUACGGGUGAAAGUGGGGGGACCUUCGGGCCUCACGCGAUGAGAUGAGCCGAUGCCGGAUUAGCUAGUUGCGGGGUAAAGGCCCACCAAGGCGACGAUCCGUAGCUGGUCUGAGAGGAUGAUCAGCCACACUGGAACUGAGACACGGUCCAGACUCCUACGGGAGGCAGCAGUGGGGAAUAUUGGACAAUGGGGGCGAACCCUGAUCCAGCCAUG